rnacentral:hammerhead_ribozyme from 1 species
AUCCAGAUGACGAGUCCCAAACUGGACGAAAUCUGCAUGCUGGAC